rnacentral:rRNA from 1 species
GAUGAACGCUGGCGGCGUGCUUAACACAUGCAAGUCGAACGGUGAAGGAGAGCUUGCUCUCCGGAUCAGUGGCGAACGAGUGAGUAACACGUGAGCAAUCUGCCCCUGACUCUGGGAUAAGCGCUGGAAACGGCGUCUAAUACCGGAUACGAGCUGCGAAGGCAUCUUCAGCAGCUGGAAAGAAUUUCGGUCAGGGAUGAGCUCGCGGCCUAUCAGCUUGUUGGUGAGGUAAUGGCUCACCAAGGCGUCGACGGGUAGCCGGCCUGAGAGGGUGACCGGCCACACUGGGACUGAGACACGGCCCAGACUCCUACGGGAGGCAGCAGUGGGGAAUAUUGCACAAUGGGCGAAAGCCUGAUGCAGCAACGCCGCGUGAGGGACGACGGCCUUCGGGUUGUAAACCUCUUUUAGCAGGGAAGAAGCGAAAGUGACGGUACCUGCAGAAAAAGCACCGGCUAACUACGUGCCAGCCGCCGCGGUAAGAC